rnacentral:snRNA from 1 species
AGCCUCGCAUUAAGCACAAAGCGAACUAUUCUUUCGCCUUUUACUAAAGAAUACCGUGUGCUUGUUGCAAUAAAAGGCAGACGCUAAUUUUUUGAAGGGAUUCUUUCAUUUGAAAGGAAC